AUUGAACGCUGGCGGCAGGCCUAACACAUGCAAGUCGAGCGGAUGAAGGGAGCUUGCUCCUGGAUUCAGCGGCGGACGGGUGAGUAAUGCCUAGGAAUCUGCCUGGUAGUGGGGGAUAACGUCCGGAAACGGGCGCUAAUACCGCAUACGUCCUGAGGGAGAAAGUGGGGGAUCUUCGGACCUCACGCUAUCAGAUGAGCCUAGGUCGGAUUAGCUAGUUGGUGGGGUAAAGGCCUACCAAGGCGACGAUCCGUAACUGGUCUGAGAGGGUGAUCAGUCACCCCUGGAAUGGAGCCCGGGCCCCGCCUCCUAGGGGGGGCGCCGGGGGGAAUUUUUGGACAGAGGGGGAAGGCUGGACCACCCAUUCCGGGGUGGGGAAGGAGGGUCUUCGAUUUUUAAACCAUUUUAAGUGGGGAGAAAGGGCAUUAAGUUAAUACCUUGCUUUUUUGACGUCCCCAAAAAAAAAAGCCCCGGCUAACUUCGUC
rnacentral:rRNA from 1 species